GCGUUGCUCGGAAUUACUGGGCGUAAAGGGCGCGUAGGCGGAUCGUUAAGUCAGAGGUGAAAUCCCGGAGCUCAACUUCGGAACUGCCUUUGAUACUGGCGAUCUUGAGUGUGAGAGAGGUAUGUGGAACUCCGAGUGUAGAGGUGAAAUUCGUAGAUAUUCGGAAGAACACCAGUGGCGAAGGCGACAUACUGGCUCAUUACUGACGCUGAGGCGCGAAAGCGUG
rnacentral:rRNA from 1 species